CACCAUCUCCCGCUGAAGGGGACCAUGAGGCGAUGCGAAGCAGCGUUUCGGCAUGCCGAGCCCGCGUUUCAUUAGUGGAGAGGGGGAGUGGAGAGAAGGUGUGUGGAGAAGGGUUUGCCCAUGCACCGCAGUAAGGGUGAUCAGGACGCACACCACCGCAUUGAACUCCGCCAUAAGCUGCUUCGCAUCUAAAAAAAUCACGCAUACGCUCAAACACGGGUGUGUC
rnacentral:lncRNA from 1 species